AUUGAACGCUGGCGGCAGGCCUAACACAUGCAAGUCGAGCGGAAGAAGGGAGCUGGCGGCUGGAUUCAGCGGCGGACGGGUGAGAAAUGCCUAGGAAUCUGCCUGGUAGUGGGGGAUAACGUCCGGAAACGGGUGCUAAUACCGAAUACGUCCCGCGGUAGAAAGUGGGGGAUAUUCGGAUCUCACGGUAUCAGAUGAGCCUAGGUCGGAUUAGCGAGUUGGUGGGGUAAAGGCCUACCAAGGCGACGAUACGGAACUGGUCUGAGAGGAUGAUCAGUCACACUGGAACUGAGACACCGUCCAGAGCCUUACGGGAGGCACCAGUGGGUAAUAUUGGACACGGGGCGGAAGCCUGAUCCAGCAAUGCCGGGUGUGUGAAGAAGGUCUUCGGAUGGGAAAGCACUUUAAGUUUGGAAGAAGAGUAUUAAGUUAGUCCAGUGAUGUUUUGACGUUACCUACAGAAUAAGCACCGGCUAACUCCGUG
rnacentral:rRNA from 1 species